rnacentral:rRNA from 1 species
AUGCACCCCCUCCGCUUUGAUUUUGCCCAGGACCGCACCACAUCGAGCUCCUCAACAAAUCCUGAUCUCACCGGAGUAUUGCCCUUGCCGGAGCUUCCUCGAACGAUUCCGUCGCCUCUGAACACGGGAUAUCGAGCUCCCGAUCACACCCAAAAUCGCCAGCACCACCGAGCGACGGCGGGCCAGCAGCGGACGCUCCCAUCUCCGUUGAAGCUACCAUCGUCUCCGUCAUCGCAAGCCGCAUCCGCCCUUCACCUCAUCUUCACCGGAGAGCCACCGAAGGGCGCCACCACCCACGCCCGAAGCCGUCGUCGUUUUUCCCCUGCCUCAGUGAGCACGCACGCACAGCUACAUCUCAGCCAAUCUGCAUGUGACACAUGGCGCUAUGCUAUAGUAGCCGCAGUUCAAAAUCAUGUUUUUAGACAGAUUUUCACCAAUUUUUCGUUUAGCUAUAUCUCUUGGUCUGUAUAUACAAAUUCAUUGAUUCUUUCUCCUGUGUACUCGUAG